rnacentral:lncRNA from 1 species
CUGGAGGUGCUAAAUGAGUAACCUCUGUACUGCUCCAUUAUUUACUGUACACGUGCCCUAGGAUAAGUGAAACUAAAAUAUGUGUUGCAGAACCAAAAGCCCAAACACAGUCAUUCUGAGGAGACAAACAUAUUUAUAGGUAUCUAUCUGAGAAUGUCUUUGCCCAGUUUUAGUGCAUACUUUGGCCAGAAGAAAUCCAAUCUUUAUGAAGUGCAAAGCACCGAAAAAUGAAAAAAAUAGGGAGUAGAAAAUCUGGACAAUUUACACAAAUUUAUGUAAAGAUUCUUUACAGUUUGAGCUUCUGAUUGCAUGUUAGAAAUGGCAGGGUCCUCACCAGUACUGUCCAUACUGCUUAAGUCCAUGAAAAGCCCUGUAAAUCUUGUCCCCUCCCUCUAUUGCACAGCUAGGGACCUUCAGCCAACACACUGAAUUAGUGAUUCAAUGACCUUCCACAAAAAGAACUUAAACAGCAAGCCUCAAGCUCUCUCUAUGAGGUAACAAUAUACCUUUGCCAUAUGCAUAACCCAGGAUCACAAUGAACUAAUACAGUUAACUAACUGCUACUUGCCCCUUUGGACAUCAGGAAUGAAACUGUGUCAUUAGUGUGUGUGCUGCUCUGCAAGGCAAAAAGUGAUGCCUCUGUGCCUGUUAAACGAGCUGAUGCUGACCUGCCUUCCUGACUUCAGUGUUCCAAAGAUGGGAUAUUUUAGCUGCCUGAGCUCUGAAUUAGUGAAUUUGGCCUGGUUGCCUGAGCAGCUCUCAGGCUGGACUUUGUGUGCAGGUCCAUGUGUUACACAGCAGUGCACCCACAACCCCAACACCUGAAUCUCACAACACAGUCAUAUUAAGAAUGAUAAUCAACUGGAGUAUCUAUUGACAAUUUUUCCAUCAGGGAUAACAUCAGAAAAACUGAUCAAUUUUUGCAAGAAAUACAGUGUAAUUUUAAUGUCAAAAAGCCCAUUCAGAUAGGAAAGUAAAGAAACUGUUAAUAUCAAGAAGUAGUUUCCAUAGACUAAGACCUUCCAGCAGGAGUGAAUUGCCUUCAUAGUGUAUUUUAGUACUUUUAGGGCUUUUUCUCUCCCUCAGAUCUCAGCAAAGAGCUACAGCUGAUGAGGGUGGACUCAUUCUGUAGGUAGUGUCCACAUGGUUCGAAAUUAUGGUAGAACAGAUUAGUAGCUAUGACAAAUAGGAAGGAAAAGAGUUAAAAAAAAAAAACAACAAGCAUCUAAAUAGUGACAAUCAGACAGUUUUGUUAGUAUUGUCAUGGGUUUUGCCAUGAUAACCUCUGCAGUGAUGUCUACAAGAGCAACAGAAUGCUCCAUGUGUUGUAAGAUGGUCUCUUAUUCACAGUAUCUUGGUUCAAGCUAGGAAGUUUGAAAUCCUUGGAUUUUUUGGGUAGCUAUGACAAAUAGGAAGGAAAAGAGUUAAAAAAAAAAAACAACAAGCAUCUAAAUAGUGACA